CCUACGGGUGGCAGCAGUGAGGAAUAUUGGUCAAUGGGCGCGAGCCUGAACCAGCCAAGUAGCGUGAAGGAUGACUGCCCUACGGGUUGUAAACUUCUUUUGUAAAGGAAUAAAGUGAGGCACGUGUGCCUUUUUGUAUGUACUUUAUGAAUAAGGAACGGCUAACUCCGUGCCAGCAGCCGCGGUAAUACGGAGGAUCCGAGCGUUAUCCGGUGUUUUUGGGUUUAAAGGGAGCGUAGAUGGGUUGUUAAGUUAGUUGUGAAAGUUUGCGGCUCAACCGUAGAAUUGCAAUUGAUACUGGCAGUCUUGAGUACAGUAGAGGUAGGCGGAAUUCGUGGUGUAGCGGUGAAAUGCUUAGAUAUCACGAAGAACUCCGAUUGCGAAGGCAGCUUACUAAACUGCCACUGACAUUGAUGCUCGAAAGUGUGGGUAUCAAACAGGAUUAGAUACCCUGGUAGUC
rnacentral:rRNA from 1 species